UACGGAGGGUGCGAGCGUUAAUCAGAAUUACUGGGCGUAAAGGGUGCGUAGGUGGUUUGAUAAGUGGUCUGUGAAAUUCCUGGGCUCAACCUGGGGAUGUCAGAUGAGACUGUUAGACUCGAGUAUAGGAGAGGGUAGUGGAAUUUCCGGUGUAGCGGUGAAAUGCGUAGAUAUCGGGAGGAAUACCAGUGGCGAAGGCGCCAAGCUGGACGGUUACUGACGCCGAGGUGCGAAAGCGUGGGGAGCAAACAGG
rnacentral:rRNA from 1 species